AGCCUUUAUAGCUUAAUGGUAGAGCAUCUUCUUGGUAAGAAGAAAGUAUGGGUUCAAUUCCCAUUAAAGGCUUCC
rnacentral:tRNA from 1 species